rnacentral:rRNA from 1 species
UACGGGGGGGGCAAGCGUUGUUCGGAAUUACUGGGCGUAAAGGGCUCGUAGGUGGCCAACUAAGUCAGACGUGAAAUCCCUCGGCUUAACCGGGGAACUGCGUGUGAUACUGGAUGGCUUGGAUUUGGGAGAGGGAUGCGGAAUUCCAGGUGUAGCGGUGAAAUGCGUAGAUAUACGGAGGAACACCAGCGGCGAAGGCGGGUAGCUGGGCCAACACUGACGCUGAUGCGCGAAAGCUAGGGGAGCAAACGGG